ensembl:lncRNA
CCUCCCCCCCUCCCCAGAUCCACAGCGGACGCUUUGAACAGAUGUACUCGGCUCUCUCUCUCUCUCGGCGCGCGUGCUGGGGUCUUUGUGAAGGGUGUUGUGGUGGUGUUGUGGUGGUGUUUUGGUGGUGUUGGGGUGGUGUUGGGGUGGAGCUGGGUGGUGUUUGGGAUUCGGACACUGUGCGUGGUGGAGGAGGAGGAGGAGGAGGAGCAGGAGGAGGAAGGCUGUUGCUGCUCUGGACUGUUUCACGAGGUCUGCUUGACAACACGCGGGGACACACAGCGCCGACGGAAGAGUUUCAUCGUUCAUCAGGGCUGCAGCUCUACUUAACGUGUCGCGCCCCGAGACAGACAGAAAGUCUGUCCACCGUGUGGUUCAUCUCAGAGCCGAAGGGACCCUCGAUGACCAGCGCCCCACGCCACAGGGCAGGGUGCCGGGGUCACAGCCAUCACAACCCUCCUGGUCUGGGGCGAUAGGUUAGAGGGGGAUCAAUGCUGCCCCCCUAAGCAGGAGGCUGGAGGUGUUUCCACAUCAGCAGCCCCACGCCGUGGUCUCUGACCCCGCUGGGGGGACGGGGGACGGACGGCGUUUACACAGCGCUGCUCCAACCAGUGGCCCCCCGAGCGCUUUACUACACUGCCUCACUUUCACCCAUUCAUGCACACAUUCACACAUUCACACACCGACUGCGGAGUCAGCCCUGACGACCACGGGACCAAUCAGGGCCUUUCAAAGGACUACGGUGAUCCACGGGCCCCGGGGGGACCCCUAACGUCAGCUGGGGGGGGUCCCCUAACGUCAGCUGGGGGGGGACCCCUAACGUCAGCUGAGGGGGGGACUGUUCCCCGGAUCACAGCGGAGCAGCGGGUUGGAGCAGGGGUUCAUUCGAGGAGAGCAGGAGUACCGAUCCGCCUGACAUGGUCUCCAGAUCUCCUCGGGGUCCAGGGUGGGGAGGAGAUGAAUAGACAUGAGGCCCUCCACCCUUUGAUCUCAGUUCAAGGACAUCGCUCCAGGAAGUCAUGGCGCUCUGUGUGUGUGCUUUGAGUGUGUCAUUGCGUCAUUGUGUCUGUGUGCUUUGUACGUCUGUGUGUCUGUCUGUAUGUCAUUGUGACUGUGUGUCUUUGUAUGUAUGUGUGUCAGUCUGCAUGUUUGUGUGUCUGUGUGUCCUGACUUUGGGUUUUCGCAUGCAUGCGUAUGUGUAAUAUCUAUUUGCAGAUGAGUCACAUGCGGGUGUGUGUGUGUUUAUUAAGCUAGUGUUUUGCGGUGCUUCUGUGUAUUUAAGAGGUCUGUGUCUUUAAGAGUCCUGUGUCUUUUAGAGUACUGUGUCUUUAAGAGUCCUGUUUCUUUAAGAGUCCUGUGUCUUUAACAGUACUGUGUCUUUAACAGUACUGUGUCUUUAACAGUACUGUGUCUUUAAGAGUCCUGUGUCUUUUAGAGUACUGUGUCUUUAACAGUACUGUGUCUUUAACAGUACUGUGUCUUUAAGAGGUCUGUGUCUUUAAGAGUACUGUGUCUUUUAGAGUACUGUGUCUUUAACAGUACUGUGUCUUUAAGAGUACUGUGUCUUUAAGAGUACUGUGUCUUUAACAGUACUGUGUCUUUAAGAGGUCUGUGUCUUUAAGAGUACUGUGUCUUUAAGAGGUCUGUGUCUUUAAGGGUCCUGUGUCUUUAACAGUACUGUGUCUUUAAGAGUACUCUGUCUUUAACAGUACUGUGUCUUUAAGAGGUCUGUGUCUUUAAGAGUACUGGGACUCGGAUCAUUAAGUGUACCCCUCCUUCUCCUGCAAAAAGUAAAUGAAUACUACGGCUAAUAAAACCCUUGAGGUGGCGUUUUGGCAAGAGAAAACUUACAUUUUAUUAGUACAUGUAAUAGAGAUAAUUAUGAGCCUUUGAUUGAUAUCCAGA